rnacentral:lncRNA from 1 species
AAACGUAGUCCAACAACGAAAGAGCCCUGAAGCUCAAGCGGAGCCCGCUGGCCGCAGGGGCCGCACCACGCCCCAGACCCUGGAGUUUCCGGGUGCGCAGACCCUUGCCAUCAGCAGAGGCUGCCGCUGCGCGUCCCCUAGGCGCGGAAGAGGCGGCUGGUGGUCCCUGACGGCAAGGUUUUAUACAUUACGAAUAAAGCUGGCACGUUUCCAUUUCUCCUGGGCAAAUAUUUAGAAGAAAAGUUGCUGGGUAAUUGGUGGAGACAAGGUUUCGCCACAUUGACUGGGCUGGUCUGGAACUCCUGAGCUCAAGCAACCGGCCCUCCUUGACCUCCCAAAGUGCUAGGAUUACAGAAGCACUGAGACCACAGAGGCAAGAGCUGGGGAAGGAAAACUGCCCAUGAGAUGAGAUGUGCCUCUCAGCUUCCAAAAUCGGGGAGGGUUGCAAAGGGAUGACACCAUCCACACCAGAACUGCAUGAAUGGCAUCAGGAAUGAUCAGAGACCAUAAAUUCCAGUGAGACCAAUAACACCAUUUCUGGUCCUGCAUGCUCUUCCAAACUUUGCCACUAACCCCUUCAAGAGGCUAGGUUAGAAAAGGCAACAGAACUUCAUCCUAAUCUCUCUCAAGAUGCCCCCCAUGGAAUCCAGCCAUCAUGCUGUGAGGAAUCCAAGCAGCUACAUAGAAAGGCCACAACUAGAUAUUCCAGCUGUAGUCAGCUGAAGCUCCAGCCAACAGCCAACAUCAACCACCACACGUGAAAACGAGCAAGCCUUCAGAUGAUUCCGACUCCCAACCUCCAAGCCACCUCAGCUGAAGCCAAGUAGAGCAGAGACUAGCUGUCCCCCAAUGCUCUAAUAUGCAGAUUCAUAAUUAAAAAGAAUGUUAUUGUUCUAA